CGCAACACAGCUGCAAAGCCACACCCCCAUUAGGUCAUGUGCAUGGCCCUUUAGGACACUUUUUCAAAUACGAGAUCAAGACGACGACAACGCUGGCUAAUGACUGCCAAGCUUUACUACGCCAAAUGUAGCAGCAGCACGAUGGUAGCUGGCAUGCUAUGAGCAACCUUCUCUGGUGGAAUUGAUUGUGGACCUACCUGCAUGAGCUGGUCGUGAUGUUGUGGAUCAAAGUCUCCUUCCAGAUCGGCCUGACUAAAAGCCAGCUCAUCAUUUCCGAUGAUAUCCCGAAGGACACAGACACUCGAACCCGAUCUUAAGAUCAUUGCAGACGUGAGAGCAGCCUCCGUUGUCCAACAAGCACUCGUUGAACGCUGCGAGGCUCAUCUGACCAAUCCCUGCAGUCGCGCUGGCCGUUGCACACCCUGUCCAUGCUGACGCAUUCACCGCUGUUACACUUAAACCAGGUUGGACCCACGCAUCGGGUGGCUGAACGCACAAAUUCACCAAGUGGUAAUGAUGAUCGCAUUGGUGGCUUCCAUGAAUGCAAGCGCCGUCAUCGCAUUGAAACUCAUCAGGACGGCAGGUGGGAUGCGCUAGAGGAAUGCAGAAGACGGACGUUCGGAAUGGGAAGUCGUUGAAAGAGGAUUUAAAGGCAGCAUCACCGCAUACCGCAGCCGGCUUCAUCCGAUCCAUCCAGACAAUCGGCUCCUCCGUCGCACCUCCAGUUUCCGUGAAUGCAUUCCCCGCUACCGCAGCGGAAUUCCAGGGCGGAGCAGCGGCGAGUUGGAGCAGAGGUAGGCGUGGCCGUGCCGCAGUUCUGGGGCCACUCGUCCGAGCCGUCCGGGCAGUCGGCAUCUCCGUCGCAAGCCCAUAGGCGGGGAAGGCACACGCUGUUGUUGCACUGAAAAGAAGUAGCGCUACACGUAGCCGCCGGGCAGGAGGCCUCGUCGCUGCCGUCAUCGCAGUCUUCUUCAUCGUCGCACACAAACGACGAAGACACGCACUGGUUGUUUGUGCAGCGGAACUCUGAGUCUGUGCACUGCUUGGGUCCUAAGACACACGACAUGGCUUCAUAAGACUCAACCCAACAGGUGAAUGGGUGCAUCCCUUGUCUAUAAAUAGAAAAUAAAUGCAUGGCUUCAUAAGACUCAACCCAACAGGUGAAUGGGUGCAUCCCUUGUCUA